GUGUAGCUCAGUGGUAGAGUACUUACCUAACAAGUGCAAGGCCCUGGGUUCAAUUCCCAGUAUACACA
rnacentral:tRNA from 1 species